UACGGGGGGGGGUAAGCGUUGUUCGGAAUUACUGGGCGUAAAGGGCUCGUAGGCGGCCAACUAAGUCAUACGUGAAAUCCCUCAGCUUAACUGGGGAACUGCGUGUGAUACUGGAUGGCUUGGAUUUGGGAGAGGGAUGCGGAAUUCCAGGUGUAGCGGUGAAAUGCGUAGAUAUUGGGAGGAACACCAGUGGCGAAGGCGGCUCACUGGACUGGUACUGACGCUGAUGCGCGAAAGCGUGGGGAGCAAACAGG
rnacentral:rRNA from 1 species